rnacentral:rRNA from 1 species
GACGAACGCUGGCGGCGUGCCUAAUACAUGCAAGUAGGACGCAGUUGCGAACGGGUGAGUAACGCGUAGGUAACUACCUAUUAGAGGGGGAUAACUAUUGGAAACGAUAGCUAAUACCGCAUACUAGUAGAUGGACCUGCGUUGUAUUAGCUAGUAGGUAGGGUAAUGGCCUACCUAGGCAACGAUACAUAGCCGACCUGAGAGGGUGAUCGGCCACACUGGGACUGAGACACGGCCCAGACUCCUACGGGAGGCAGCAGUAGGGAAUCUUCGGCAAUGGGGGGAACCCUGACCGAGCAACGCCGCGUGAGUGAAGAAGGUUUUCGGAUCGUAAAGCUCUGUUGUAAGAGAAGCGGUAUCUUACCAGAAAGCCACGGCUAACUACGUGCCAGCAGCCGCGGUAAUUC